rnacentral:pre_miRNA from 1 species
AUGUAGGGCAAUCUGUAUUUAAAUCAAGGUAAAUUAUGUUAAAAGACCUGAAUCCUGAAUAGUUUUCCCAUCAGGUCAAGUGUCUUGU